UUCCUUAGUAGCUCAGUGGUAGAGCAAUCGGCUGUUAACCGAUUGGUUGUAGGUUCAAAUCCUACCUAAGGAGUC
rnacentral:tRNA from 1 species